rnacentral:tRNA from 1 species
AUCUCCAAAGCAUUAAGGGGCGAUGCACCGGUCUCCAAAACCGGCAAGCUGGGUUCGAGUCCUAGUGGAGGUGCCA